rnacentral:rRNA from 1 species
GAAGUCGUAACAAGGUUUCCGUAGGUGAACCUGCGGAAGGAUCAUUGUCGAAACCUCACAAAAGAACGACCCGCGAACCGUCAUUUCUCACCGGACGGGACGAACGAGCGCUCUAGCGGCCGUGCGUCCCGUGCCGUGUCGGCGCUGGCCUUCCCCGGGCCCGCGUCGCCCCGGCGAACAAACACCGCCAGCACGGAUCGUGCCAAGGACCUCAACGGAGAGAAUCGUCCUCCCACGCCCUCGGUCUUCCUCGAUGGGGGGCGGGGGACACACGAUCUCAUCUCAAGUCUUAAAUGACUCUCGGCAACGGAUAUCUCGGCUCUUGCAUCGAUGAAGAACGCAGCGAAAUGCGAUACUUGGUGUGAAUUGAGAAUCCCGCGAACCAUCAAUUCUUUGAACGCAAGUUGCGCCCGAAGCCAUUCGGCCGAGGGCACGCCUGCCUGGGUGUCGUGAAUCCCCUUGCCCUGGGCACCCGCACGAGCAUCGGCGGGGACAUGCCCGGGCGCGGAAUGUGGUCUCCCGUCGGAUCGGCGUGCAUCGCGUGUCGUCCUGCGGUUGGCCGAAAAUCGAGCACCCGCGCGACGGGCUCCGCGGCGUUCGGUGGAUCGAACGUGAUUGGCUGCGUCGUGGGCCCGGCGUGCGGCGGUCUUGAGGACUACGGAAUUUCCCUACUGCGAUCCCAGGUCAGGCGGGGCUACCCGCUGAGUUUAAGCAUAUCAAUAAGCGGAGGAGAAGAAACUAACCAGGAUUCCCUUAGUAGCGGCGAGCGAACCGGGAGGAGCCCAGCGUGAAAAUCGUCCGUUGUCGGCGGGCGAAUUGUAGUCUGGAGAAGCGUCCUCAGUGACGGACCGGGCCCAAGUUCACUGGAAGGUGGCGCCGGAGAGGGGGAGAGCCCCGUCGUGCCCGGACCC